rnacentral:rRNA from 1 species
GGAUGUGAUCAUACCAGCACUAAAGCACCGGAUCCCAUCAGAACUCCGAAGUUAAGCGUGCUUGGGCGAGAGUAGUACUGGGAUGGGUGACCUCCUGGGAAGUCCUCGUGUUGCAUUCC